CGGGGUGAGUAAUGUCUGGGAAACUGCCUGAUGGAGGGGGAUAACUACUGGAAACGGUAGCUAAUACCGCAUAAUGUCGCAAGACCAAAGAGGGGGACCUUCGGGCCUCUUGCCAUCGGAUGUGCCCAGAUGGGAUUAGCUAGUAGGUGGGGUAACGGCUCACCUAGGCGACGAUCCCUAGCUGGUCUGAGAGGAUGGCCAGCCACACUGGAACUGAGACACGGUCCAG
rnacentral:rRNA from 1 species